rnacentral:tRNA from 1 species
ACUUGGAUAGCUUAUAUAGAGUAUGACACUGAAGAUGUCAUUGAGGUUUUUUGACCUCCAAGUA